AGGGUUUGAUCAUGGCUCAGAUUGAACGCUGGUGGUAUGCUUAACACAUGCAAGUCGAACGGUAACAUUUCUAGCUUGCUAGAAGAUGACGAGUGGCGGACGGGUGAGUAAUGCUUGGGAACUUGCCUUUGCGAGGGGGAUAACAGUUGGAAACGACUGCUAAUACCGCAUAAUGUCUUCGGACCAAACGGGGCUUCGGCUCCGGCGCAAAGAGAGGCCCAAGUGAGAUUAGCUAGUUGGUAAGGUAAAGGCUUACCAAGGCGACGAUCUCUAGCUGUUCUGAGAGGAAGAUCAGCCACACUGGGACUGAGACACGGCCCAGACUCCUACGGGAGGCAGCAGUGGGGAAUAUUGCACAAUGGGGGAAACCCUGAUGCAGCCAUGCCGCGUGUGUGAAGAAGGCCUUCGGGUUGUAAAGCACUUUCAGUUGUGAGGAAAAGUUAGUAGUUAAUACCUGCUAGCCGUGACGUUAACAACAGAAGAAGCACCGGCUAACUCCGUGCCAGCCGCCGCGGUAAUAC
rnacentral:rRNA from 1 species